GGAUGUGAGGGCGAUCUGGCUGCGACAUCUGUCACCCCAUUGAUCGCCAGGGUUGAUUCGGCUGAUCUGGCUGGCUAGGCCGGUGUCCCCCUCCUCCCUCACCGAUCCAUGACCGGUCUUCGGUCAAGGGUAUACGAGUAGCUGCGCUCCCCUGCUAGAACCUCCAAACAAGCCCCUGCCAAAUUAGACAUUGACUAUUCAAUAUUCCCAAUAAAAAAUUCUAGCAAGAUUUUAUUGGGGAAUGUGGAAACCAAUUCUAAAAAAAUA
rnacentral:snRNA from 1 species